UUCUGUCCAUGGGUCAGAAC
rnacentral:misc_RNA from 1 species